GUGGGGAAUAUUGGACAAUGGGCGAAAGCCUGAUCCAGCCAUGCCGCGUGUGUGAAGAAGGUCUUCGGAUUGUAAAGCACUUUAAGUUGGGAGGAAGGGCAGUAAGUUAAUACCUUGCUGUUUUGACGUUACCGACAGAAUAAGCACCGGCUAACUUCGUGCCAGCAGCCGCGGUAAUACGAAGGGUGCAAGCGUUAAUCGGAAUUACUGGGCGUAAAGCGCGCGUAGGUGGUUUUGUAAGUUGGAGGUGAAAUCCCCGGGCUCAACCUGGGAACUGCCUCCAAAACUGCAUGACUAGAGUACGGGAGAGGGUAGUGGAAUUUCCUGUGUAGCGGUGAAAUGCGUAGAUAUAGGAAGGAACACCAGUGGCGAAGGCGACUACCUGGACUGAUACUGACACUGAGGUGCGAAAGCGUGGGGAGCAAACAGGAUUAGAUACCCUAGUAGUCC
rnacentral:rRNA from 1 species